rnacentral:rRNA from 1 species
UUAAGUGACGAUAGCCUAGGAGAUACACCUGUACCCAUGCCGAACACAGCAGUUAAGCCCUAGAACGCCUGAAGUAGUUGGGGGUUGCCCCCUGUUAGAUACGGUAAUCGCUUAGC